UGACGUCACUCGCUCUGAGACCUGAAGUGGUUGUUCCCCUUGCUCGGCAAGGGCCGCGGCUUUUGUGGCGCGAUGGGUAACAAUGCUUCGUGGGUGUCAGUUGUUGAUGUGUGCAAGGGUCCCUGGUUCGAGCCCGGGCUGGGGCGAAGAGAGGGACGGAACCUACACUGUUACAUUGGGAGGAAACAUAUUACAAUAAACAGAAGAAGCUCAUGGUCCACUAUCUGCUGCUCCAGAGUCAAGGCCAGGUCUCGCCCCAUGUCACCACAGAGCACAUGAGCGACUGGCUGGUGUUCAAGGGCAAAAAAUCCCUUAGGGAGAGGUUGUGGAAAGAAACCCUGGAGGAGGGGAACGAACUCGCCCGGCUGGCCUGGGAAGUAAACACUUGCUUAAAAAUGAUAGACAUAGAGCACGAGGCUGUCUGCAAGCUCCGCCGCUCCAUCCUCCCCACCUCGCCAGCUGACAUUGACCUUAAGGUCCACACCAUCGUGGAGAGAGCUGUGAGGAGCAUUCUGGGCAAGCUGUCCUCACUCUGCAAGGACGGGAUAGGACACAUCACAACACUGCUGCUCAUUCAUAUUCAAACACACCUCAGAGUAUGCACACAAACAUGGACGCACACACACAUUGGCGCGCACCCCACACAAUGAACUUACCUGUACAUAUCAGAAUCAUACAUUCGACAGCCACCUCUUCCCCCACAUUUCUUGAUUCCCCCACCUCAAACAUGUUGAGUCAAUCAAAGCCCAGAUGCUGGAAUGGUGCUGGAAUGCAGGUGCAGUAGGGCCUAGUAUGUAAUGGUGUGGUACCCUAUAUCCUAAAUCCUGUCUUUGUGUUUUUUUAUUUAAUCUUUAUUGAAACAGGG
rnacentral:lncRNA from 1 species